CCAUUUUUACUUUUUUAACCUGUGCGCUAGAAAUCUAACUGUAGUCUUACCUGUAGAACUGGGGACGCCAUUUCGUGUGUGUUAGUUGAUAUUACUGUCGUACGACCUUCUGCUAGGAAUGUAACUGCAUGGGACUUGUCCAGCCAAUGGAUACUCACAUGAACAAGGAAUUCAAAGAGAGAAUAAAGCAACAGUGGUGCGAGUGGUUUAAGUCGGCAAAGCGGAACUGCAGAGGGAAUUAUGUGCAGACCUGUCAACCUUUAGUCAAGAGAAAGCAGGAGGUUGUCAAGAGAUUUGAUCAAAUACCAGGAGACUCCUGCCAAAUCCAGGAGGGUUGACAGGUCUGAUUAUGUGCAAUCAACAAGACAGAACAUUAUAGACUGGAUACGUGUCGCAUGGGAAGCUGUUGAGGAGGGAACCAUCGGGGGGCUUUUAAGUCCUGUGGGAUUUCACAACCAUUGGAUGGAAGCAGAAACUAUCUGCUAAGUUCUUGCUUGGUCGACGAUGUUGGACUGGAAAUUGAGGAAGUGCCACCACAUGAAGAGAUUGAAUCCGGAGUUCAUUUCAAUGAUGAGAAUGAUGAUACCGAGGACAUCGAGUUUGUUGGGUGGGACCAGGAUGAACUUGACAUGUGAUUAUGUACUUUCACUUUGUGUACUGUAUUUUGUGCUGGAUUAUGUGAGUGUUCAUACAACGUUGUAAAACAAAUAAAAAAACGAUAUUCUUUGGAUGUUGAAGUGAAAUUUA